CACAUGCAAGUCGAGGGGCAGCAUGUUGGUUGCUUGCAACCAAUGAUGGCGACCGGCGCACGGGUGAGUAACGCGUAUCCAACCUACCCUUGUCCAUCGGAUAACCCGUCGAAAGGCGGCCUAACACGAUAUGCGGUUCUCAGCAGGCAUCUAACGAGAACGAAAUGUGAAGGAGAAGGAUGGGGAUGCGUCUGAUUAGCUUGUUGGCGGGGUAACGGCCCACCAAGGCGACGAUCAGUAGGGGUUCUGAGAGGAAGGUCCCCCACAUUGGAACUGAGACACGGUCCAAACUCCUACGGGAGGCAGCAGUGAGGAAUAUUGGUCAAUGGACGAGAGUCUGAACCAGCCAAGUAGCGUGCAGGAAGACGGCCCUAUGGGUUGUAAACUGCUUUUAUAGGGGGAUAGAGUGUGCCACGUGUGGCAUAUUGCAGGUACCCUAUGAAUAAGGACCGGCUAAUUCCGUGCCAGCAGCCGCGGUAAUACGGAAGGUCCAGGCGUUAUCCGGAUUUAUUGGGUUUAAAGGGAGCGUAGGCCGUUUGGUAAGCGUGUUGUGAAAUGUCGGGGCUCAACCUGGGCAUUGCAGCGCGAACUGCCAGACUUGAGUGCGCAGGAAGUAGGCGGAAUUCGUCGUGUAGCGGUGAAAUGCUUAGAUAUGACGAAGAACUCCGAUUGCGAAGGCAGCCUGCUGUAGCGCAACUGACGCUGAAGCUCGAAAGCGUGGGUAUCGAACAGGAUUAGAUACCCUGGUAGUCCACGCGGUAAACGAUGGAUGCUCGCUGUUUGCGUCUGACGUAAGCGGCCAAGCGAAAGCGUUAAGCAUCCCA
rnacentral:rRNA from 1 species